GAGAGCCUAAACGCUGAACUUAAGCGAAUGCAGUGUUUCUUGAAGGACGCGGAUCGCAAGCUUGAACAAGAUGCGCGUUUCCAGAAUCGGGUGUCGGAAAUUAGAGAUCUUGCUUAUGAUGCUGAAGAUGCUAUCGACUCCUUCAUCCUUGAACGUGCACAUCAAGGAGGCUUUCAAGGAAUCGUCAAGAGAUUCACCUCCAUUUGCACCAAACCUUCGCAUCUGCACAAAAUAGGGGUGCAGGUCAAAGCAAUCCAGACCAAGCUCCAAAACAUUUCCAAGAACCUUCCAGCUUAUGAGAUAUCCCGUGAUGGAGAAGGCUCUAGCUCAAUUUUGCAGCAACGGGUAAGAAGGACAUACUCACAUGUCGAGGAAGAGGAUGUUGUUAGCUUGGAGGUUAGCACGAAGGAUGUCAUGACGAAGUUGAUGACUGAAGAAGAUAGACUCCAUGCCGUCGUUUCGAUAGUCGGCAUGGGGGGCAUUGGUAAGACUACUCUUGCCAGAAAAGUAUAUAAUCAUGUUGAUGUGAGACGCCAUUUUGGUUACAUGGCUUGGGUUUAUAUAUCUCAACAAUGUAAGCCGAGAGAAGUUUUGCUUACUGUCUUGAUGAAAAUUCUCUCUCCUUCUAAAGAUGAAAGAGAGCUAUUUGAGAAACUGGAAGGGAGUGAGCUGAUGAAAAGGCUUUUUGACGCUUUGAAAGAAAAGCGGUAUUUGAUUGUCCUCGAUGAUAUUUGGGGAAACGAUGAUUGGGAUAUUCUUAAACCCGCUUUUCCACGAGGAGGAAAGGGAAGCAAAAUAUUGAUCACAACACGCAACAGGAAUGUGGCUUUAUACGCCGAUCCUUGCAACACUCCCAUGGAGCUCUCAUUUCUUGCAGAUGAUGAAAGUUGGAAUCUUUUGUGUAGGAAAGCAUUCCCACGGAGCAAAAUGGGUUCUCAAUGCUGCUCACAAGAAUUUGAGAAAUUCGGAAGAGAGAUGGUGAAAAAAUGUGGAGGUCUACCUUUAGCAAUUGUUGUCUUGGGAAGCUUGCUAGCAAGAAAACAAUCAGUGGAUCAAUGGGAGACGGUUCACAAAAACCUUUUCCAUGGACACUUAAAAGGGCUCCAACAACAUGAUCAUCAAUAUGGUGCGGUGAACAGGAUUUUGGUUUUAAGCUACAAUGAUUUGCCUUAUCAUUUAAAACCAUGCUUUCUGUAUCUUGCUCAUUAUCCAGAAGAUUGGGAAAUAUCAAAAAAGAACUCAUUCAAUUGUGGAUCGCUGAAGGUUUCAUUUCACCAUUAUUGGAAAGCGAAGAAAUCUUGAUGGAGGAUGUAGGCGAAGAAGAGCUUAUAGAUAGAAGUUUGGUUCAAGUUUGGAGGCGAGACUUUACAGGGACAAAAGUGAAAACAUGUCGAAUACAUGAUCUCUUCAGAGACUUGUGCAUGGAGAAAGCAGAAGAGGAGAAUUUCUUAAAAUUUAUUCAAAAAUCUGAAAAUUCUCUUGAUGUGACCUUGGUAGCAUCUAUGCCACGAAGAAUUGCUAUACAUCCUGGCGAAAGGGGCUUCUAUUUAAAAGGAAAGCAUCCAAAAUUACGUUCUUUGUUGCUGAUGAAUCAAGAAAAGGUAUUGAUAAAUGUCCAUAUUUCAAAUUUCAAUAACUUUAAACUUUUAAGAGUGUUGAAACUUACUAGAUGGGUUGAGGAGUGGCAUGUGUCAAGUGAAAUUGGUAAUCUCCAUCAUUUGAUGUAUUUGAGGUUACGAUGCAUAAUGAAAAUAAUCUUGCCAAGGGCUAUUGGAAAGUUGAAGAAUUUACACACUUUGUACCUCCGAUGCCUUUUUCACUUUGUAGUUCCAAAUGUUGUAUUCCAGUUGGAACGCUUAAGGCAAUUUGUAACGAAAGGGGAUGAGUAUCCUGAGAUCGAAAGAUAUUUUCAUUGGUCGCGAAACUUUUCUUCAAAAAAUAUUGAAACUUUGAAGUACAUGUGGGUGGACAAGAAGUUGAUUGAAAAUAAUGAGGUGCUUAGGUUGACUCAUAUUCAGUGUUUUGGAAUAAUAUUUAAGAAAUCAAAAGAUGUUAAGCCUAUCUUACUAUUGGCAAUAUUGGAUUGUCUUAAGUCAUUGUCCAUGACUUUGUGUAAAAUUUUCUAUAGAAAUCAAGCUCAUUUACAUAUCUAGAUUAGGAACCUCUUUUACAGUGUUGUCGCCUCUCCAAAUUGAAGUUAAGUGGUCCCAUAAAGGAAUAUCCACAUCAGAGCCAUCAUGCUUUGAAAUUUCUUCCACCAAGUAUUGUCAAGUUAACUUUGCAGUUCUCUCAUAUGACUAAUGAUCUGACGGGUGUGUUGGGAAAGCUGCCAUGUUUGAGAAUUCUUAAUUUACAAUAUUUGGGGAGAAAAAUGAUUUGGUCUGUCAAUGGUUUCCUCAACUUGAUUUCUUAAAAUGCAUCCUUUAUUUAAAUUGAAGGAGUGGGAAAUAGAAAAAAGCACAAUGCCAUGCCUUUCGAAGAUUAGAGUUUGGCCAAUAUUGAAAGGUUAGGGAUGCUUCUAGAAAAAUUGAUGUAUAUUACUACUUUUCAAGAACUGUUAAUAGUAGGAGUGAAUUUACCAUUUAAAAAUAGGAUUAAAGGGAUAGAUGGAAGAGAAGGAGAAAAUUUCUAUAAAGUGCACCAUAUUCCCUCCAUCCAAGUAUUUACACGCCUUUGCCCGUGAGGUAUUUAUUUCUGUAAAAUAAUAAUCUUUCCAUUCUUUUUAUUUUUCUUUCACCCAUAUAAUUAGAGAUUGAUAUAAAAUUGGUAAAAUAACAUAAAAGAUACCAUUUUAUCAUUAAAAUAUAAAAAAUAUUAUUUCAUAAAAAUUAACAUAAAAAUUAUUAUUAAAAUAUAAAAAAUAAGGAUUUCAAAUAUUUUUCUAAAAAACUAAAAUUUUAAUAUUAUUUUAUUAAUUCAUAAUUUUUAUUUCAUAUUUUUAAUUAGUAUACAUAAGAGAUGAUAAUAUGUAUAUACUAUUUUCUUCUUGAUGCAGGUAUGGCCGAACUCCAUCAAGUGUGUGUUUUUAAAAUUGGAUUGCUAUAUAAUAUGAAUGAAGUGAUUGUUGAUUAUUAAUUUGAUUAGAAUAUAGAUUUUCAUUGAUGAAGAAUGAUUAAUUAUCCAUUUUUUUUCUUCUAAAUUCAAUAAAUUUCUAUGUUUUUUUCUUAUAUUUCGAGACAUUAGUUCUCUUGUUUACAAUAUUAGUUUUGAGGGUUUUUUACCCUAAUAUUAUAAAAAAAAAAUUUAUACACCAAAAUGAAUUGUCAGCCAGAUUAAUUACGAAAAUGGUAUAUUUUUUGGGGUCGUGCUUACCUGACAGGCACAGUCCAUUAUUUUAUUAUUAAUUUUCUUUUUUUGUUUUAAAAAUUAUUAUUAUAUUAUAUUAUUUUUAAUAUUUAUAUUAAUAUAUAGAUAAAAAUACGGGUUUUACACGGAUAAAAAAUACCCGAAACAGGUCGAGCCUGUCAGGUAGGCACGACUAGUCGUGCCUGACAGGUAGGCACAACACCCUGAACAUUUCCCUUUUCUUUCUUUGCAUUUUACAAAAAAUUGGUCUUAUAUCACUUUUGGUCCCUCUACUAGGCCUAAAAUUAAAAUUCAAUCUUUAUACUUGAAUUUCUACAAUAAUAUUUGGUUCUAUUUUUUAUAAUUUUUUUUCCAAAUAAUUAAUAUUGUUAAUUACUCUGAUAAAAUUUUUGACUUGUUUUUUUAAACAAAAAAUUAGUUUAACAAAACAAUGAUAUGUUAAGUUAGAAUAAUUUUUAAAUAAUAAAAUUUCUAACAAAAUUGUAUUAAAAUUUUUGUUAAUUACUCUAUAAAAUUUUUGAUUAGUUUAACAAAACAAUGUUAUGUUAAGUUGGAAUAAGUUUUAAAUAAUAAAAUUUCUAACAAAAUUGUAUUAAAAUUUUUGUUAAUUACUCUGAUAAAAUUUUUGACGUGUUUUUUUAAACAAAAUAUUAGUUUAACAAAACAAUGAUAUGUUAAGUUGGAAUACAUUUUUGUUAGAAAUUUUAUUAUUUAAAACUUAUUACAGCUUAACAUAUCAUUGUUUUGUUAAACUAAUAUUUUGUUUAAAAAAACACAUUAAAAACUUUAACAGAGUAAUUAACAAUAUUAAUUAUUUGGAAAAAAAUUAUAAAAAAUAGGACCAAAUAUUAUUGUAGAAAUUCAAGUAUAAAGAUUGAAUUUUAAUUUUAGGCCUAGUAGAGGGACCAAAAGUGAUAUAAGACCAAUUUUUUGUAAAAUGCAAAGAAAGAAAAGGGAAAUGUGCAGGGUGUUAUGCCUGCCUGACAGGAUCGACCCGUUUCGGGUAUUUUUUAUCCGUAUAAAACCCAUAUUUUUAUCCAUAUAUUAAUAUAAAUAUUAAAAAUAAUAUAAUAAUAAUUUUUUAAAACAAAAAAAAUUAAUAAUAAAAUAAUAGGUUGUGCCUGUCAGGUAGGCACGACCCCAAAAAGUAUACCAUUUUCGUAAUUAAUCUAGCUGACAAUCCAUUUUGGUGUAUAUAUAUAUUUUUUAUAAUAUUAGGGUAAAAAACCCUAGUUUUGAGAUCAAUUCAAUAUUUUCUUCCAUUGUCUUUUAGCACUGCUUCUGCCUUCUCUAUUUAAAUUAAAAAUUAGAUGAUACAAUGUGAAUGAAAACGUAUAUACUUUUAUAUGAUAUAACAAAAAAUAUUUAAGAUUUCUUAUAACAAAAAUUACUUAUUAUUAAUACCCUUUUUCAUUUAAUAAUGAAUAAAACAGAUUUCUAUUCUCUUGACUUAUAUAGAACAAUGAUUAAAUUUUUUAUUAGAUACCUAUUUGACACGAGUUCAAACUAUAUGACACCCAUUCUCACCCUAAUAUUGUAUAAAAAAAAGUCAAACAUUAAUUAUUGUAUAACUUUUAACCGUUUAAUCAAUGAUAUUAAUCAUUUCAUAAAUUUUUUUUAAUAAAAAACAUGAUAAAGUAUUAUAUAUUUUUUAAUCAUUUACUAUUUACUAAGAGCAAAUCAAUCAUUAAAUAUCUGAGUCUAUAAUUAUUUCAACUUCUACCUUGAACCAAACAUAGUAUUGUAACAUGUUUAAUAAUGUACUACUUGUCCGGUAACAAUAUUACCGAAGGUAAUCAAUCAUUUUAUGAACUAACACCCCCAAUCUAAAUUCACAAAAGUUUGUGUGUUUGAGAAAGUUGAAUUCACAUAAUUUGUUCUUCCUAUAAACAAUAAGAAGAAAGUAGCGACUCAACUUUCUAUUGAAGACUUGUUUUAAUAGGGUUACACAAAUCAAAAUAUAGUAAAUUCAGGGAACUCUAUGUAGUAAAUUCAACUUUCUAUUGAAGACUGUUGGUGAUGAGGUCCUAAUCUAUCUUACUAGUGCUCGUACCAGUUAUGAUGUAUGGGUAGCCAUUGAAAAUAAGUUUGCAACUAAAUCUACUAUUAAACUCUUUAGUAUUCGACAUGCGUUGUAUUCUCAGAAGAAGGGCCACUUAUCUGUUAAAGAAUAUUUGGCCAAGAUCAAGUCGAUGAGUGAUAUGUUGAUUAUGGCAGGGAGUUCAAUUUCUGAACAAGAAUAGGUUAGUAUAGUUCUUGCGGGCCUUUCGGUCGAAUAUGAGUCUAUGCGGGUAGUAGCUUCAGCUACUUGUGUGUCCCUUGAUCUUUUGACAAAACUACAUUUUGAUUGCGAAGAAAUACAACUUAAGUUCUUGACUAGUAUUCCAAUAUAGGCAAACUUGGCUAGAAAACAAGUUUAUAAAAGUGGUGAUCAGGAAAAAAAGGGUCUGACAGAGAUUAUUAACGGAGUAAACAAUCGUAUAGAGGUGGUUUUCAACAAAGUAAAGGUUUCCAUUGUGGUAGAGGACGUGGGGGCUGGUUUUCACAUAAUCGACCCCAAUUCCAGUUAUGUGGUAAAGUUGGACAUGUUGUUCAAAAGUGUUAUUACCGAUUUGAUGAGAAUUUUGCAGGUAUCUCUAAUGACGAUAGGUCGAUAACAGUAAAUCAUCAUCAUCUUUUCGAUCCAAGGCAGACCGCAUCUAACUAUGGGGUGCAUCAUUGUUGCAAUAAAUUUCCUAGCUUUUAAGGAGGUAGUGGUCAACCAUCGAGAUCUUAAACCAGCUGUGAUGACCAGAUGUGGUACCCCGACUUCAGAGCCACAAAUCAUGUUACCAAAGAUCUCUCUUCACUUAGUCAUCAUACUGAGUAUACAGGUACGAGUCAACUCUUGAUGGGCAAUGGGACUCCUAUCCCUAUCACUUAUGUAAGGACCUCUCGAUUACCACUAGUAAUAGACUUUUAUACUUUAACCGUGUUUUACCAUGUUCCGAAUGUAUGCAAAAACUUGAUUUCUGUAGCUCAAUUCGCAAAAGAUAAUCGGGUGUUGACGGUCACUAAACUAACUAUAAAUACCACAAAGGCAAGCGUAGCUAUCGAACAAUAGUAUAUCUAUGGCGAGUAAGGAAUCUCAUAUCCACGAGGACUAAAAAUACUAGUAAUUGCUGAUAUCUUAUUAUUUUGCCGACAAAUUGGAGUGAUUGUGUUUUUAUCUAAAAUUACUAAACUAAUUUAACUAAGAACACAACAGAGAAUGAAUCAAAGAAAUAAUUGAAUAUUAACCAAUGAGAUAGACAAUACCCAGGAAAUAAUCCACCUAGACUUCACCCAUUAUUAUGAAUCUGAAUUAAAUGAUUUAUUCACUUGUGACUUGAUCCGUAGAAAUCUCUAAAUUAUGCUAAUAUCUCUUUCGAGAGUAAGAACAACUGACUCUAGGUUGAUUAAUUGAAAUCUCUUUCUAAUUAAAACCCUUAUCGUUGCAUUAACUCGAUCUAUAGAUUCCCUUAUUAGAUUUGACUCUAAUCUGGUAGAUUUAUGUCGUCUUAUUUCUAGGAUUACAUACAACUCCACUCAAUUAUUCUAGAUCUACUCUUAAACAUGGACUUUUGCUCCACUAGAUUAAUCACAUUAAAGAUGAAUUAAUAUCUCGAAAAUAUUAAAACAAGAAAUUAGCACACAUAAUUGAGAACAGGAAUCAAGUAUUUAUCAUGUAAAUCAUAAAUCAAAUAAUAAGAUUCAUCAUAGGUUUCAUCUUCCCUAGGUAUCUAGGUAAUCAAAUAAUAGAAACAUCUCAAAGUCAGAAUAACCACAAGACAUAAAGCAACUCAAAAAAACUUCGAAAAAAAUUAAAGAGAGAUCUUCGAUCUUGAUAUAGAUCUGUUUCCGAGUUGAUUCCAAUGGCAUUCUUCAAGUGUUUUCUUCGAUCUUCUUUAAUGGCCUCUUUAUGUCUUCUUCUAAUGGGUAUUUAUAAACUUUAGAAUGCUCAGAAAACCUAAAAAUUGGGUUUUCCACGUAUUAAGAAAGUAGGGUGCAAAAUCGACACGAGUUGGCACAUGGGCGUAUGUCCAGCCCGUAUAGAUCAUGAAAAUAGCUCUUUUUGUCUGAUUUUGUCUCGUUUUUUGCUCAUUUCAUUUCCAAAUGCUCUCCUAAGUAUAGAAUCAUGAAUUUAAAGGAUUAAGAGCGUCAAACUCACUAAUUUGCAUAAUUACUCAUCAAAAAACGCAUUAAGAAUGUGAUUAAAAUAUAUUGCUUUUAUAGCUUAUCAAAUAUCACCACACUUAGGCGUUUGCUUGUCCUCAAGCAAAAUCCUUAACUCUCAUUAAAAUUAAUAUUUCUCAAUUUAUAAUUUUCAUCAAUAAUGUCUCAAAAUAAUUCACAAAUAAUCAUGUAUUGGCGAUUCAACUAAAAGGGCAAUAAAGGUCCAAACAAUCAAAGUUAAAAAAUUUUAAAGCACAAAAACAUAGGUAUUUCCCCUUAUCUAAGUAAUUACCUUUAAUUCAAAAUCAACAAGAGUCGACAUCCUCACUAAAGAUUCACUUAAAUCACUCAAAGUGUUUAAGGUUCAAGGAUAAGCACUCAAAAGUCAAACAAGAAAGGUCAUUACCAUAUGCUUGCAUGAAAAUCAAAUCUCCACCACUAUAAAAUGAUAUGAUACACAAAUCAAAAGGUUUUUAAGAGGAUGUAAUGGGGCUUAGGUUGAGGGUGUGGAGAAAGGCACAAAUACUUCAUUAGUAAUAUCCUUCCUGAUCAACCUAUCAAACCAUCUAUUUGCAAUGUUAACAAACUCUUAUGAUUGUUGCGUGUAAAAAAAAACACAAAUAGCAAGAGAAUAUAAAUUGAACUGCCUUCGCUUUUCAUCUUGAACAUCAAGCCCUAGUUUCUACAACCAAAACACAAACACCUUGUCUACAAUAACAUAUUUUCCAACAAACUACUAAGAAGUUUUAGAAUUAUAAAACUUGCACUUCCUUAAGUACCUUAACUAUCAUUAAAGCAUCGAAAACAUAUUGUUCGAAGGAAGACGCUCUAAACAUCCAUGUCGCAAAAGAAAUUAAAAUAAACAAAGAUGUUAGCUUUUAGUAUUAUACCAUUUGAUUUGAAAUGUGUGUUUGUUGCGUGUAAAAAAAAACCCACAAAUAGCAAGAGAAUAUAAUUGAACUGCCUUCCCUUUUCAUCUUGAACAUCAAGCCCUAGUCUCUACAACCAACACACAAACACCUUGUUUACAAUAACAUAUUUUCCAACAAACUACUAAGAAGUUUUAGAAUUAUAAAACUUGCACUUCCUUAAGUACCUUAACUCUCAUUUAAACAUUGAAAACAUAUUGUUCGAUAGAAGACCUUCUAAACAUCUACGUCGUAAAAGAAAUUAAAAUAAACAAAGAUGUUAGCUUUUAGUAUUAUACCAUUUGAUUUGAAAUGUUUAAAAAUAUUUUUUAAUAAAUAUAUGUUUGUAGGUUGCAUUGCACCUAGGGAUACAUUUGAUUUGAGGGGUUGAGAGGGAAGUGAGGUCUAUGCCUUAACGGACGGUGCGACGAGCCUCGUGCUUCUUCUGGUUGUGGCUCUUUUUUACAUCGUGUUUCAAGUCGUCACUGAUUUCAUUUUCUUGGAGAUCAGAUGGAGAUGGGGCAUGGGGUAAUUUGGUUUCGCGUAGGCGAGAGGAAGUUUUUGACGGAGGAACAAAGAAAUAAAAAAGAUUGUAGAACCAUGCCCAUAAAAAGAAAAAAAGAAGAUAAGAAUAUAAAAGAAAAAUGGAAAGUGAGGGAAAAUAAAAAAGAAAAGAAAAGAAGGCAUAAUAAGAUGCCACAUGGCAGCAUACGAUUGGCUAGCGCUGCCACAUCAGCAAAAAAUUAAUGCUAUCAGUCUCACGUACUAAUUUGAGACAAAAGAAACCAUAAAUAUCAAUUUGGGAGAAGUGGAUAAGUUUGAGUAAUAAUUUUAUAUUUAACCUUUUUUUCAUACAAAUUUUUUGGGUGAAAGAGUAGAAUUAAAAACAAAUUACAAAAACUAGACCAUCCCCUCUAACGGAGAGGUCUUAAACAGACAUAACCAAUAAUCUCUAUGUUGGACCAAUUUGAUCAAAUGGUCAGCUUCCUGAUUUUCCUCUCUAAAAAUGUGUCUAAUGUCCCAUUGUUUAAACUGCGACAGUAUGUGAUGAAUUCUUCAAACCAAAGCAGAGUUGGACCCUUUAGUAGAUCCCUUCUAAAUAUCUAUAACCGCUUCAAAACAGUUAGAUUGAAUCACUACACUAUCAUAUCCUCGCUUCACAAUCAAAGACAGACCUUCCAUAAUACCCCACGACUCACCAAACAGUUCCCCAAAUAUUUAUUGUAUCCAACAAUCCAAAUUCUACCUCGAUCACAUAUUAUUCUCCCUACUGCCGUGAAUCCAGCUUCCUUCAGAAUGGAACCAUCUGUACUCAAAAGGACAUAGUUAUUAUUUAAAAAUAGAGACAGGAACUUACCUUGUGAGUCAUUUGUUUUGCCCCUUUUAGUAGAAACGUAUUGCUUUGCCUAGCUAUACGGCACCUUGAUAGUUUUACUAUCAUUUUAUGAAGUACCUUGAAAAAUUAAGAAAUCCACAAGCGCCAAAUGAUGAUCCCAAAUAGACAUUGCCAGUCAACAUCUCCCAAACACCAAUUAUGCUGAUUUUGCAAAUUUAGAACAAGCAACUCAUGUAGAUUUCCUACGUAAAAUCUAGGAAACUAUUCCAUCGGAAUUAAGUGGUCCCAAACAUUCCUCGCAGCCUUGCAAUCUCUAAUAGCAUGAAGUACAUCCUCAGAAUCCUGGCCACAACCCCACAUACUGGAUCAUAACCUAUUCCCAUCCGAGCUAAUUCAAACUUGGUAAGCAGAUGUUGGUUAAAAGCAAGCCAAAGAAAGAGUUGAACCCCUUAGGGUCUUUAGAGCUUCCACGAAAUGCACCACAUUAGCUCUUUCAGAUUCCGCGACCCUUCUCGAAGCUUCUCAUAAGCAUUUUUAAGGGAAAAGCAACCUGAUCAGGUACCUCCCCAAAUGAUUUUAUCAACCCCUACAGUCGUAUGCGGCGGAGGAAUCCCAACAAUCUUUCGAAUCACCUCCUCAAUGAGCCAUAAUUGGAAAAUGUCAAGGUUCUAUUCGCCAUUCUCAUUUACCUUGUCCCUUAGAUGACAUUCCAUAUCCAGUGAGGAACGACUAGGAACGGUCUUAGCCAACAACCCCACUCUUGAAACCCAUGGAUUGCGCCAACAUCUAAUACUUGUGCUAUUUCCUACUGACUAAAUCAAAUUUCUGAAAUAAAUGGCCAAGCUUUAGUGAGAGCUAUCCAUUAAAAAAGAGCAUCUACUCCACGAUAAAGAUUUUAGUAAACCACUAGAUAUUCCAUAUUUGUUCCUUAGAACCUUGACCAAAGGGGCCUUAGAAUUGGCUACAAUAUUAUAGCCCAAUUUCAUCAUAAAGGUGUUAUCAUCUUGCAGUUUAAAAUUGGAUCCUUUGUGUAAUGCCCCUAACCCGAAUCCGUCACUGGAAUAGAGUUACAGAGCAUUACCGGAGUUACCAAUUCAUUUAUCAGAUAUUCCAUUAAUCCGAUAUCUUUUCUUUUCCACGUUCAAGUCUCGUAUUCAAGUCAUCCGGAUAUUUAUAAAGAAAUUUGAUCGUUGUUUUCAUUUAUUUCAUGUUAUAAUACAUUCAACUAAUGCUCUAAACAAAAUUAUCAUUUUACCCCUAAACUUUUAAUUAAUGACGAUUUCAUCCUUAGGUUAAAAUAAAAUAAAAUUAUUGCAACUUAAUCCUUAUUUCCAGGCGUUAUUCUCACACAAAUUGAUAACAACCUAUGAAUUCUAUAAAAUGUUAGAAUUUUCCAUAAUUUCAACACUUUUCAAUUUAAUCCUUAAAACAUGUUUUUCCCUGAUCUUGAGCUAAAUUAAUAAUUUCAUUCAAUUUUUUUAAUUUAAAUAAUAAAAUAAUCCAUUUCAUGCAAAUUGGUCAUUUCUAACAUUUUUUUUACAAAAUUGCCCAUAAAAUUAUACUUUUAUUCAAUUUAGUCCAUGAGCCUAAAACAUACAAAUUAGCCAUGCUAACUGAAUAUUCAUACAUAUUUUCCUCAUCCUCCUCUCCAUUCCACAUCCUUAAUUUAUAUAACAUGCAACAAGUAACAUUAUCAAUAAUUUCACUAUUUACUUAUGUAUAUUCAAAACUGUCCAUUUGCGUCAUAGUCACUAAAUUAUUUAUAUCUUAAGCUACAGAACUCGAAAUUAAGAUCCGUUAAAUUUCCCUGAAACUAGACUUACUUAUCUUAUUACCAUAAAAUUUUCAGAAUUUUUGGUUUAGCCAAUAAGUACAGUUUAUUCUUUAAACUUGCCCUUGUUCUGCUGUCUGACAGUUCCGACCCUUCUUCACUAAGAAUUAAUUAUCUCAUCGUACGAGAAUGUUCCCGCUUAUUUCUAUUGAAAAUAGACUCUUUAAGGAUUUUAAACAUAUAAAUUUAAUCCCUUAAUUAUUUUUCUCAAAUUUUUGAUGAUUUUCCAAAGUCAGAACAGGGGAACCCGAAAUCAUUCUGACCUUGUCUCACAAAAGUUAUUGUAUCUCAUGAUUUACAAUUCCAUUGCUUACAUAAUUUAUUUUAUAAGAAACUAGACUCAAUAAGCUUUAAUUUCAUAUUUUAUUCAUCCUCUAAUUCGGUUUAUACAAUUUUUGGUGAUUUUUUAAAGUUAAACUACUGCUGCUGCCCAAAACAGUUUUAGUGCAAAAUGUUGAUUUCCAUUUUACCCCAAAUUUUACAAUUCAUACAAUUCAGUCCUUGCUCAAUUAACCCCUCAAUUAAGAUAAUUUUCUCAAUUAAUACUUUUUCUAGACAUUAUAAGUUAUUUCAUAACUACUGAAAUUCAGAAUUUCCACAUAAAACUCUAACUUCAAACUUUUUUACAAUUUAGGUCCCAAACAUUCACUUUCUAUUAAAUUCUUUCAAUAAAAUCAGCAUAUAAACAAUUUAAAGCUCUAAUUCUAUGUCAAAUCAUCAUAUACUUCCAGCACAUAUUCAUAGAAACUUUCAAUUUCUUUCAUAGAAUCAAGAACUAAUGAAUUCAACAAAUGGACCUAAUUGUAAAAGUCACAAAAACACAAAAAUUUCAAGAAUUAGUCAAGAAUUGAACUUACUUGCAGUAAAAAUAUGAAAAAACAGCUUAAGGGAACUCUUCCAUGGUGUUUUUGCUGAUGAGAAUGCAGAAAAAUAAAGAGAAAUCUAGAUAAUUCCACUUUAGUCCUAGCUUUAUUAAGUAAAUUUUGCAAUUUUGCAAUUUUUCCCUUAUUUUCUUGGUGAUUUCAUGCUCUUGCCGUCCAGCCCAAAUAGACCUUGGGUCUAUUUUCCUUUUAAACCCUCUUUCUUUUAUCAUUUAAGCUAUUUAAUCAUUUCCCACAAUUUUGCAUUUGAUAUAAUUUAGUCCUUUUUGUUCAAUUAGCUAUCAGUACUUUAAAAUUUCUUGAUGAAACUUUAAUACUAACUUAUUAACACUCCAUAAAUAUUUAUAAAAAUAUUUAUGGCUCGAUUUAAAAUUCCCGAGGUCUCGAUACCUCAUUUUCAAUUCUAAUUAUUUUAAUAUAUAUAUAUUUGUACAUUUCACUAUUUCAAAAUUUUUCCUAACUUCACAUUUAACUUAUACUCACUAAAUUAAUAAUAUUUCCUACUCAUUUGUCGGAUUUAGUGAUCUCAAAUCACUGUUCCAACACAACUGAAAAUUAAGUUGUUACACUUUGCAUAUCUAUGACAGGUGAUUAAUCAAUUUCGGCCCGCCUACUAUUUUUAUGUUAAUGGCGUUAUGUGUUAACUACUAAACUUCAAUGUUAAUUGAACAUUGCUUUCCUUUUACCUAAUUUGGAUUAGUGUUCAUUAAAUAAAAAAUAUUUUUUCAAUUAAAUAUAAAAGAUACCUAAUUAUUAGUAAAUUAAGGUAAAUAGCACUAGUAGUCACUCAAUUAUUAUUAAAUUUCUUUUUUGAUUGUCUAACUAUGAAAAGUUACAAAAUGAUCAUCCAACUAUUAGUAAAUUUCUUUUUUGUUGAUCCAACUAUAAAAAGUUACAAGUUUGUUGCUCAACAGUUCAAUUUUGCCUUUUCUGAGCACAAAUUGGCUAAUGACAACAAUAUUUAAAAUUGACAUAAUAGCACAUUUAACCCUCAAAAUAUAUACAUUGCAUCAAUUUAGACUUGAUUCUAAAAAAUCAAUCCCACAAUAUUUACACAUUGUGUAGUUUGAUCUCUUAUAUAGUUUUUUUUUUUUGUGACCCUUCCACAUAAAAAAAUAAAUUUAUUAGCUAAAUUUAAUUAAAAAUAUAAAAAAAAUGGAAAUGCCCAAAAAUCUUAUGUAAUAAUUUUAAUCUUAUAUCAUUAUUUUAAACUUAACCCCUAAUAUCACAAAUAAAAGUAAAACUACAAAAAAUUUUAAUAAAAAAUUUAUUUUUUAAAAUUAAAACUGAAUUAACAUAAUAAAUAAAUAUUAAGAAUUAAAUUUAUUAUUAUGCUAAUUUUCAAAGCGAUUAUCCUAUAAAUUAUUUUUAAAAUUUUGGGUCCAACUUGGACCAAGCUUUAAGAAAGCAGACGAAUUUUUGUAGCCUUAGCCUAGCCCCCUACUCCAAUAUUUCCCCCACUAAUAAAUAAACUAUUAAUAUUCCUCCACUAAUGCAUAAUAUAUUCCCCCACUAAUACAAAAACUAUUCCUCCACUAAUACUUGCCGAUCAGUUUGAAAUCUUAGGUAAAAAAUAAUGGUUGAAAUUAAUUAAACAUUUUUUUAUCUGUAACAAAAAAUAAUGGAUAAAUAAAAAAAUAAAUUUAAGAUUGUUUAGUAUAAAUAAUUAAAUUUUUUUAAAAAAAAUCAUGACAUUUUAUUAUCUUAUCAUCAAAAAAAUAAUAUUCUACCUUUCUUCUCUUCGAUGUUAUUAUUGUUUGAAUAUGAUUCGAUAUUUCCUUUUCAAAGAAUCAUUACUUUAAUGAUCCAUUCUUUUUGAUAUAAUUUUAAGUUAUUAUUACUAACAAUCUCCAAUUUUUUACAAAUAUAUUUUCUUUAAUGCUACUUGAUUAAAUAUACCUAAUUACGGAAUAUUUUUUUGUAAAGCUAAAGUUAAAUUUUAAUUGGUAUAUAAUUCUAAUACUAAUUAAGUGAUAAUUAGAAUUAUUAGAAUUCUAUUCAACUAAUAAAUUUAUUUUAUAUAAAUAAAAUUAGCACAUUUUUAAAUAAAAUAAAGUCAUUUUUUAUAAUAAUGUCAAAUUUAAAUUAUAAUUUUAUUAUCUAAUUAAGCGAUAAUUACAUUAGAAAAGCUACCUUGUUUGAGUAUUCUUAGCUUACAGGAUGAAGCGGACUAAAAUGACUUGUUUUGCCAAUGAAUUUCCUCAAUUUGAUUUUCUUCAUAUAUGCAAUCUAAAAGAGGUAGAGGAGUGAAAGAUAGAAGAAGGUGCAAUGCCACGUUUCUAAGUUUAUAUUUGAGUUUCAUUUCGAGAUGAUUCAAGAAAGGUUGAGAUACAUUACUACUCUUUAAAAAUUGAAAUUAAAAUUAAUGAGAAAAUCACUGGUAGAAAGAAUUCAAGAGAAGGAGAGGAUUUCUAUAAAAUAUGUCGCAUUCCUUCAUUAAAAUAUGGUAAUUUGUUUAUAUCUAAAUAAGUGUAUUAGGUUUAAAUAACACGGUAAAAAUAAUAAUAAAUAAUUGAAGUAAAUUACACCCAAAUUCACUAAACUAUGAGUAAGUUAACGUUUUGGUCAAUUAACUUCAAAAAGUUACAAAAUUGUCACUAAACUAUUCGAAAGUUUUAUUUAAGUCAUCGGGCUAUAUGGUCUUCAUUGUUUGCAUCCCCUGCACUAAUAAAAAACUCUUCUGCCUCUGCUUUUCUAUAGUUUAGGUUUUUUUUUUCAUGAAAUAAAUUUAAACGUCAUGUAUCUACGAACCAAAAUUCAAAUAGCUUUCUUCUCUGUUCUUUGACACAGACCAUUAGAUUGUCUUGAUCUAAUAUAUGUUUUUCUAUUCAUCUAUAAGUAUUGAUCCAUCAUACCAUUCAUCGAAUUGUUGCUUGAACCUCAGACUUUAACAAAAAGAAUUUAAUAGUCCAAUGACUUAAAUAAAAACUUUUGAAUAGUUCCAUGAUUCAAAUAAAGACCAUUGAAUAGUUCAAUGACUAUUUUGUAAUUUUUUAAAGUAAAAUGACAAAAAUAUAAAUUUAUUAAUAGUUUAGUAAUCUUGAAUGCAAUUUACCCAAAUAAUUAUUAUUAUUUUCUUUUGAUCUUAUCCUGUGAAUUAUGAGCAAUGACUGUUGGGUGUUCAAGUAGUUGUCAUUAGGAAGAAAUGAAAUUGAGGGUUGGCCUACUAAUGUCACUCAUCAUAACUUUUCUUCACAUGCCAUUUUACUUUAUUGAUUUUGAAUCCCAAAGUUUUCUUUAUUUGAUUUUGGAAAACCAUAAAAUAAAAGAAUACAUGAAUGCAGUUAUUUAAUGUCACUUUCCUACAAAUUUAUUGCAUGCCGUCCAAUUUGGAAAAUCUCUUGUGCUUUUGGAAUUUUGUCACCCAUCACUUUUUGUGUCCACCAAACGUUUUUUAAAAAUAAAAAUUUAUGACUUUAUUAUUUAUUUUAUAACAAUAAAUUGUUUUUAUAAAAAAAUUUAAACUUAAUUAUAAGUUGGAUUUAUUAAACUUUCUAUUUUGAAUUUCUUGUUAUUAUUCUGAAUUUCACAAAUAACCCCCCCCAAAAAAAAAAAACUUUCCCCUUAGUUAAACUGCAGGUAGCUUCCUACAAAUUUCCUAUUUCCGUUCACUUUGAACAUAUGCUAUUUUAUUUUAAAAAUUUAAGUCCCAACGAAAAAUAAUCAGCAACCUCACCCCCAAAAACAGCUCUUCAAAACUUCUGACAAAGAGAAAUACUUCCUCCACUAAUACAUCAAAUAUUCUACAAUUAUUUGCCGACCAGCAGGAGAAAUGGCAGGGGCUAUUGUGUCCUUAGUUGUUGAAAGAAUUUCUGAUCUACUCAUCCAUGAAGCACUUUUCCUCAAAGAUGUGAAAGAUCAAGUUGAGAGCCUAAAGUAUGAACUGAAGCGAAUGCAGUGUUUCUUGGAAAACGUUGACCGGAAGCCAGAACAAGACGAGCGUCUCCAUAAUCUGGUAUCGCAAAUCCGUGAUCUUUCUUGCGAUGCUGAAGAUGCCAUCGACUCUUUUAUUCUAGAAGCAGCACAUCAACGAGAUUCUCAUGGGAUUGUCAAGAGAUUCACCUCCAUUUUCACUAAACUUGAUCAUCUGCACAAAAUCAGGGUGCAGGUCAAAGCAAUCCAGACCAAGCUCCAAGACAUUUCCAAGAAUCUUCCAGCUUAUGAGAUACCCGGUGAUGGAGAAGACUCUAGCUCAAUUUUGAAGUUGCAGCAACGGUUAAGAAGGACAUACUCGCAUGUCGAGGAAGAGGACGUUGUUAGCUUGGAGGUUAGCACCAAGGAAGUCAUGACCAAGUUGAUGACUGAAGAAGAUAGAGCCCACGCCGUCGUUUCCAUAGUCGGCAUGGGGGGCAUUGGUAAGACUACUCUUGCCAGAAAAGUAUAUAAUCAUGUUGAUGUGAGACGCCAUUUUGAUUUCUUGGCUUGGGUUUAUAUAUCUCAACAAUGUAAGCAGAUAGAAGUUUUGCUUAGUGUCUUAAUGAAAGUUCUCUCCCCUUCUAAAGAUGAAAAAGAGCUAAUUGAGAAACUGGACGAGAGUAAGCUGAUGAAAAGGCUUUUUGAUGCUUUGAAAGAAAAGCGGUAUUUGGUAGUCCUCGAUGAUAUUUGGAGAAGCGAGGAUUGGGAUAUUCUUAAACUUGCUUUUCCACGAGGAAGAAUGGGAAGCAAAAUACUAUUCACAACACGCAAUAGGAAUGUGGCUUUUGAUGCCGAUCCUUGCAACACUCCCAUUGAGCUCUCAGUUCUUACUGAUGAUGAAAGCUGGAAUCUUUUGUGUAGGAAAGCAUUCCCACGAAGCAAAAUGGGUUCUCAAUGCUGCUCAGAAGAAUUUGAGAAGCUUGGAAAAGAGAUGGUGAAAAAUUGUGGAGGUCUGCCUUUAGCUAUUGUUGUGUUGGGAGGCUUGCUAGCAAGAAAACAGUCAUUGGCUCAAUGGGAGAUGUUUUACGAAAACAUCCAUGGACACUUAAAAGGGCUCCCACACCAAGAUAAAAAUGGUGCAGUGAACAGAAUUUUGGUUUCAAGCUACAAUGAUUUGCCUUAUCCUUUAAAACCAUGCUUUCUGUAUCUUGGUCAUUAUCCAAAAGAUUGGGAGAUAUCAAAAAACGAACUCAUAAGAUUAUGGAUAGCUGAAGGUUUCAUUUCACCAUCACUGGAAAGCAAAGAAAUCUCGAUGGAGGAUGUAGGCGAACACUUCCUAGAACAGCUUAUAGAUAGGAGCUUGGUUCAGGUUAGCAGGCAAGGCUAUACAGGAACAGAUGUUAAGACAUGUCGAGUGAAUGAUCUCUUGAGGGACUUGUGCAUUAAGAAAGCAAAAGAGGAGAAGUUAUUGGAAAUUAUUCAACAAUCAUCGGCUCAAUUUGAUGUGACUUUGGUCGAACCUAUGCUACGAAUAAUUUCUAUUCAUCCUAGAGAAGGGAAAGUUCAUUUGAAGGGAGAGCAUCCAAAAUUACGUUCUUUAUUGUUGCCUCAAAAUGAGACAUUGGUAGAAUUUUGCAUUUCAAAUUGCAAAAGCUUCAAAUUUUUAAGGGUGUUGACUCUUUUAAAAAGGAACGUCGAAAAGUGGCAUGUGUCAAAUGAAAUCGGUGAUCUCCUACAUUUGAGAUACUUGAAGUUAGAAUGCUGGAACGAAAUGAUUUUGCCGCAAUCUAUUGGCAGAUUGAAGAGUUUAUACACUUUAUACAUCAAGUAUCAUACUGACAUUGUAAUUCCAGAUGUUGUGUUCAAGUUGGAACGUUUAAGGCAUAUUGUAAUAAAAAGGAUUGCGUUGUUCGGAAGAGGAUUUCGUUUGCGGCUAGGGUUCACUUCAAAAAAUAUUGAAACUUUGAAGUACAUAAUGGUGGAUGAGAAGUCGAUUGAAAAUAAUGUGGUGCUUAGGUGGACUAAUAUUCAGAGUUUAGGAAUAGUAUUUACAAGAGCAGAAUAUGUGAAGCCUAUCCUAAUCUUGCUAACCAAAUUGCAACGCCUUGGGUCAGUGUCUUUGGAGGUUUUAGACGAUUCAAACCUAUCAUAUCUAGACUUAGAACCUCUUUCUUGGUGCCACCACCUCUCCAAACUGAGAUUAGCUGGGGGGAUAAAAGAUGAUCCACAUUCGAGCUGUCAUAUUUUGAAAUUUCUUCCACCAAAUAUCGUCAAAUUAACUCUGUUUUGGUGUAGGAUGAGCCAGGAUCCAAUGGGUGUAUUGGAAAAGCUAUGUCAUUUGAGGAUUCUCUAUUUGGAAGGAGUAUAUAACGGGAGUAAAAUGAUGUGCUCUGCCAAUGGGUUUCGUCAGCUUGAUUCUCUUCAAAUGAUUGGUCUAGAAGAGUUGGAGGAGUGGGAAAUAGAAAAGGGUGCAAUGCCAUGCCUUCGAAGAUUGGAGUUGGCCGAUGUUGAUAGUUUAGGGAUGCUUCCAGAAGGAUUGAGGUUUAUUACUACUCUUCAAGAAAUGAUAUUAACAAAUAUAAGUUCGUCAUUGAAAGAAAGAAUUAAAGUGAUAGAUGGAAGAGAAGGAGAGGAUUUCUAUAAAGUGUGUCACAUUCUCUCUAUCCACAUUUUCUGAUCUCAAGUAAUUGGAGCCAACAUCACGCGAGGUUUUUUUCUUUUUUUUCUGUAAAAUAAUAUAUUUUUUAUUUUCCUUUCACUCAUAUAGUUGGAGAUUGAUAUAAAAUUAAUAAAAUAACCAAAAUUCAUAAAUUCCAUGUCAUAUUUUUAAUUGAUAUACAUAAAAGAUGAUGAUAUGUGUAUACCAUUUUUUUUCUUGACGUAGGUAAUCUAAUUAGCAUUGAAAUGCACUUCGUCGGGAUAUUCAACUCCAUCAAGUGUGUGUUUUUAAGAAUUGGAUUGGUGAAUGAAGUGAUUGUUUAUAUGAAUAAUUUGAUGAGAGUACAAAUUUUAGUUAUCCAAUGUUUUCCUUUUUUCUAAAUUCUAUAUAUCUCUAUGUUCUUUUUUCUUAUAUUUCGAAACUUUAGUUCUCUUGCUUAUGAUAUUAGUUUUGAGAUCAAUUCAAUAUUUUCUUCAAUUGUCUUUAUUAAAUAAUAUAUAAAAUAGAUUCGUACAUGCGUUGGCUUAUAUGGUCCAAUGAUUGAAUUUCUUAUCAAAUCACCAUUUUGACACGAGUUAAAACCUUAUAACGCCUAUCUCCACUCAAUAUUGUAUAAAAAUUAGAUUCAUACAUUAAUUAUUGUGGAACUUUUAAUCGUUUAAUAGAUGAUAUUUCAAGGAGGGAACGCACGUACAAACCUGUACAUUACAAGUGGAGUACUUCAUUUGGGACUAGUAGCCACCAAUCUCGACUAUGGAUCAUAGAACGAACAUGGAGAACACAAAAAAAAAAUGGUAUGAGAAUUACUCAUUUUAUAUUUUUUAAUUAUUAUUAACAUAGAUAAGGUUACAUGUGGAGAUAUGUCUCGCAUUUUGACCAAAACAGUAUGUGAUGUUGAAACAAGAAGAAGCUCUUUGUCCUGAUGAGGAGCUGAAGUCAUGACAAGAAGAAAGUCCUCAUCCAAACGACGCAAUCCUCCUUGUCCCGACAACCAAACGCCACAUCACAAUGUGGCAACAUGUCACUUAAGUUUUCCGGCUUUCUUUUCUCAGUUAAAUUCUGUUUUAGUUUCCCACUUAAAUUCUGAUUAACCUAAUGAUAUUCUAGUCAUAUAUGCUAUGAAUUUCAGCCUAUAAAUAGUCUUAGUUACUCUAGGUUUUAGACAAUAGAAAUAUUAAGAUCGAGAUAAUUCUAUUCUUUGAGUUUAAAAAGGACUCAGUUUUUCUUCUUUCUUUUUUUCAAUGGGGUUCUCGGUUGAUAAGCUACAAUAUUGCUGCCUUCUAUUGACUUGUUGCAUUAGAUCAUAUAGGGAGUAUUUCUAUGUUCUGUAAAUCCUCUUAUUCCCUUUUGGAUAUCUGGGUAUCAUUUUAAUAUGAUUCCUGAAAAUUCAAGCACUUUCUUAAUGAUUUUUUGGGUUAGAAAUAGAACUGCGGAAAAGUUUAAUGUUUUCUCCCUUUCUUAUCAAAGUGUUUUGAUUUUUUUGGUCUUUCACAAUUCAAAAUGUUGUUGAAUUUCUUUGUAGCAUAUGUAGAAUUUUUUGGUGUUUCAAUCUAGAAUUUCUUAACCUAUAUUGUUGUCUGCCCUCCUCUUUCUCAUAUGUCUAAUAUAUUUGAGAAAAAUGGUUUUUACUAUUUUCUAUUGAAGAGUAUUUGUUUCGAAUUAUGCAGUGGAUAGAUAUGCAAACAAAGAAUAUUGGCAUCUUGAUAUCACGUUUUAACCUUCUUGUUCUUUGAGUUGAUCAAAGAUUUGUCUAAUGUAUUAAAUUUUUUUCAGGAAAUUGUAGUUUGCAUUGAUUUUUGCUGGAGAUGGUUUCCAUAUCUGAUUCUGGUUUGGUUAUGGCUACCAAAUUUGGUGCCCAUACUAUUGAUCAUAAGUUUGAUCUGAUGUAUGCAAAGCGUGCAUUUGUGCAUUGGUAUAUCGGUGAGGGUAUGGAGGAAGGUGAGUUUUCUGAAGCUAGAGAAGACUUGGCUGCUCUUGAGAAAGAUUAUGAAGAAGUGGGCUUGGAAUCUGGUGAAGGAGAUGAAGAUGAAGGGGAUGAGUACUAGGCUAGAAUAUAGAGUAAAAUCUGCCAAUGGACUUAUUGGUCAGCUAAUAAAAAUGGGUUAUUUUGUUUGUCUUCUCUAUUGUAUCAAACUUCAAAACAUGUUUUAAUGGAUCUUUGCUUAAUUUCAUAUGCUCUAACUUGCAGUAAUUUCAUAAGCUUCAAAAAGUAUGCGUGCUUCAAAAAUGGGUUCUUUUGUUUGUAUUCUCUAUUGUAGUAUCAAACUUUUUAAUGGAUCUUUGCUUAAUUGUUUUAUUAAAUUAUAUAAGAAUAUUAAUUAUUAAUAAUUUUUAUUAAAUUAUAUAUUUUAAUUAUAAUAUAUUUAAUAAUAAUUAUGUUAAUUUAUAUUUUAUAGUAUCAUAUAUUAUGAUUUGAGUAAAUUCAUAUAAAAAUAUUAAUUAUUAAGAAUUUUAUUAAAUUAUAUAUUUUAAUUAUAAUAUAUUUAAUAAUAAUUAUGUUUAAAUAUGAUUAAAUUAUUUAUUAUUGAUAUUAAUAAUCUUAUUAAAAUUUAAAUAACAAUAACAAUAAUCAUUUACCAAAACAAAUUUAUGCUAAGGGUAUUCUAGUCAUUUUAGUUUUUUCCAUUAUGCUAUUACACCUCUAUUCCAUUUAACCAAACACAAGAUUACUAUUACACCUCUAUUCCAUUACAUUCAACCAAACAGUUGAUUUGCUAUUACACCUCUAAUCCAGUACACCUCUAAUCCAAUACAGCGAACCAAACGUGCCCUAAUUGUAGUUCAAAUGUAUACUUGAAACUUUAAUUUUAUUUUAAUUAUAUACAUCUAAAAAAAUAAAUUUAUUAAUUUAUUUUUUAUUAGAUAAAUAUAAUUAUCUAUGUAUGCAAUUUAUAAAUAAAAAAUGAUAUUAUAUCAGUAAUUAUUUUAAUACUUAACAAGAAUUAGAUCAAAUUAAAAUUUUACAUAUAAUUACACAUUAACACAUAGUUCAUGUAUAGUUUUAAUAUUUAUCAAUAUCUAUUAACUAUCUAUUAGUUAUUCAUAAUUUUAUUAAUUAUUCAUAAUUACUAUGAAUUAUAGACUCGAAUUUAGAAAAACUAAAAUUAUUUCUAAUUUUAAUGCUAUACUUAAUAAGGUUGAAACCAUUAGAUCUAGAUUUGGAACCUUUUUUCAGCGUCACGGUUUUUUUAAACUAAAAGUUUUCGGGGAAUAUAAAAGAAGAUUAACAUUUGAGCCUAAGAAAGGAAAUACAGAUAAAUUAAAGUAUUCGAAUGGUUAACGAAAUACAAAUUUUAAAAAAUGGGAAUUUUAUUUUUAAUUUAAUUUAUAGUUAUUUCUAAUAAUUAUAAUAUCAUAGGUUUGUAAGAUAUUUGAAGGGGUAUGAGGGUUGCUUCAGUUUCAGAAAUAGUAAAGCUUUGGGAAUUCAUUUGGGGGUAUUUCAUUGCUAAGCAAGGAAUCAAGGAGUAGGGAAAGCUAGAAAAAGAAUCCCCAUUUUCUUAAGCAAAGAAUUUAAUUAAAAGAGGAAAGAAGAAUCUGCUUUUGCUUUCUUCUUGUUCAAUUUUAAUUAUCAUUUACUUUUGAUAGAACAAUAACAAAAAAAAGGAAUCAGAAAAUACACACAGGCUGAUUAUCAAUCUGUUUUACAUCCAAAAAAAAAAAAAACAAGAAAUUCAGACUUUUUUUUUAAUCAGCUAGAGAAAUGGCAGAGGCUAUUGUGUCCUUAGCUGUUGAAAGAAUUUCAGAAUUACUCAUCCGUGAAGCAGUUUUCCUCAAAGAUGUCAAGGAAGAAGUUGAGAGCCUAAACACUGAACUAAAACGAAUGCAGUGUUUCUUGGAGGACGUUGAUGGGAAGGCGGAACAAGACACGCGUCUCCGUAAUCGGGUAUCCGAAAUCAGAGAUCUUGCUUACGAUGCUGAAGAUGUUAUCGACUCCUUCAUCCUUGAACGUGCACAUCAAGGAGGCUUUCAAGGAAUGGUCAAGAGAUUCACCUCCAUUUGCACCAAACCUUGGCAUUUGCACAAAAUCGGGGUGCAGGUCAAAGCAAUCCAGACCAAGCUCCAAAACAUUUCCAAGAAUCUUCCAGCUUAUGAGAUAUCCCGUGCUGGAGAAGGUUCUAGCUCAGUUUUCAACGUGCAGCGACAGUUAAGAAGGACAUACUCACAUGUCGAGGAAGAGGACGUUGUUAGCUUGGAGGUUAGCACGAAAGAUGUCAUUACCAAGUUGAUGACUGAAGAAGAUAGACCCCACGCCGUGGUUUCCAUAGUCGGCAUGGGGGGCCUCGGUAAGACUACUCUUGCCAGAAAAGUAUAUAAUCAUGUUGAUGUGAGACGCCAUUUUGAUUUCUUGGCUUGGUUUUCUAUCUCUCAACAAUGUAAGCCGAGAGAAGUUUUGCUUAGUGUCUUGAAGAAAGUUCUCUCUCCUUCUAACGAUGAAAGAGAGAAAAUUGAGAAAAUGGACGAGAUUGAGCUGAGGAGAACGCUUUUUGAUGCUUUGAAAGAAAAGCGGUUUUUGGUGGUCCUCGAUGAUAUUUGGAGAAGCGAGGAUUGGGAUAUUCUUAAACCUGCUUUUCCACGAGGAAGAAAGGGAAGCAAAAUAUUGUUCACAACACGAAACAGGAAUGUGGCUUCACGUGCCGAUCCUUGGAGCACUCCUGUGGAGCUCUCACUUCUUACAGAUGAUGAAAGUUGGAAUCUUUUGUGUAAGAAAGCAUUCCCACGGAGCAAAAUGGGUUCUCAAUGCUGCUCAGAAGAAUUUGUGAAGCUUGGAAAAGAGAUGGCGAAAAAAUGUGGAGGCUUGCCUUUAGCAAUUGUUGUGUUGGGUUGCUUGCUGGCAACAAAACAGUCAGUGGCUCAAUGGGAGAUGGUUCAUAAAAACAUCCAUGGACACUUAAAUGAGCUCCCACGCCAAGAUCGUCAAUAUGGUGCAGUGAACCGAAUUUUGGUUUCAAGCUACAAUGACUUGCCUUAUCCUUUAAAACCAUGCUUUUUGUAUCUUAGUCAUUAUCCAGAAGAUUGGGAGAUACCGAUAAAAGAACUCAUUCGUUUAUGGAUCGCUGAAGGUUUCAUUCCGGAAAACAAAGAAUUCGUGAUGGAGAAUUUAGGCGAAAAAUUCCUAGAAGAGCUUAUAGAUAGGAGCUUGGUUCAAGUUAGCAGGCGAGACUAUACAGGAACAAAUGUGGAGACAUGUCGAAUGCAUGAUCUCUUGAGGGACUUGUGCAUGAAGAAAGCAAGAGAGGAGAAGUUCUUGGAAAUUAUUCAACAACCACUGAAUGAACUUGAAGUGACAUUGGCAGAAUCUAUGCUACGAAGAAUUUCUAUUCAUCGUAGUGAAAUAUCGAAAGUUUAUUUGAAGGGAGAGCAUCCAAAAUUACGUUCUUUGUUGUUUCCUAUGAAAGAGGAAUGGGAAGAAUUGUGCAUUUCAAAAUACAAAAGCUUCAAAUUUUUAAGGGUGUUGACUCUUGCAAAAUCGAACAACUACGAAAAGUGGCAUGUGUCGACUGAAAUUGGUAAUCUCCAACAUUUGAGAUACUUGAAGUUAUACUGCUACAAUGGCAAAAUGAUUUUGCCGCGAUCUAUUGGCAGGUUGAACAGUUUGUACACUUUAUACAUCAAGUCUGGUUAUGAAAGUGCAAUUCCAGAUGGUGUGUUUAAGUUGGAACGUUUAAGGCAUAUUGUAAUAAAAGUGGAUGUGGUAUUCGCCGUACGUGGAUUUCGUUUGGGGCAAGGGUUCACUUCAAAAAAUAUUGAAACUUUGAAGCGCAUAGAGGUGGAUGAGAAGGCGGUUGAAAAUAAUGCAGUGCUUAGGUGGACUAAUAUUCAGAGUUUAGGAAUAGUAUUUACCAGAGCAAAAUAUGUUAAGCCUACCCUAAUAUUGCUAACCAAAUUGCAACGCCUUAGAUCAGUGUCCUUAAGUAUUUUUGAUUGCUUAGACCCAGACUUAGAACCCCUUUCUCAAUAUUAUCACCUCUCCAAACUGAAAUUAUUCGGGCGGAUAGAAGAUAAGCCACAUCCGAACGGUCAUGUUUUGAAAUUUCUUCCAUCAAAUAUUGUCAAAUUAACUUUGGCUGGUUGUAAGCUGAGCCAAGAUCCAAUGGUCGUAUUAGAAAAGCUAUGUCAUUUGAGGAUUCUCUAUUUGAAAGAUGCAUAUAUUGGGAGUAAAAUGAUGUGCUCUUCAAACGGAUUUCCUAAACUUGAUUAUCUUCGAAUGAUUUUUUUAAGUAAGUUGGAGGAGUGGGAAAUAGAAGACGGUGCAAUGCCAUGCCUUCGAGAAUUAAAGUUGGUCAAUGUUGAAUGUUUAAAGAUGCUUCCAGAAGGAUUGAGACACAUUACUACUCUCCAAGAAUUGAGUUUAAUAGGAAUACCUCGGUUAUUAAAAGAAAGGAUUAAAGUAAUAGAUGGAAGAGAAGGAAAGGAUUUCUAUAAAGUGCGCCACAUUCCCUCCAUCAAUAUUAUUUGAUCCCAAAAUAAUAGGAGCCAACAUCACUGUGAGGUAUUUAUUUCUAUAAAAUAAUAAUCUUUACAUUCUUUUUCUUUUCUUUUCACCCAUAGAAUUAGAGAUUGAUAUAAUAUUGAUAAAAUAACAUGAUAGAAGAAUAUAUCUCUAAUUACCAUAAAAUUGUAAUUAAAAUAUAAAAAAAAAAGAAUUUCUAAUCAUAUUUCUAGAAAAACUAAUUUUUUAAUAUCAUUUUAUUAUUUCAUAUUUUUAAUUAUAAUAUAUAAGAGAUGAUGACAUAUACAUACCAUUUGUUUUCUUGAUGUAGGUUAUCUAAUCAGUACUGGAAUGCACUUUACCGAGAUAUCUAAUUUCAUUAAGUCUGUGUAUGUAUUUUUUAUAAGAAUUGGAUUGCUAUAUAGUAUGAGCUUUGGAUGAAGUGAUUGUUUGCUAUAUAUCUAAUGCUCGCUUCAGGCCUCCCAAUUUGCUUAUUUUUCUAAAAAUUUAUCUUCUUAUUAAUUGGUUCUUCAUUUGCAUCUAUUUGAUUGAAAUUAAUCAAUUUAAACCGAAGAAAGAAAUUCUAAAUAACUCAUUAGAUAUUAAAUGGUUAAAUUCAUUAUUUAAAUAGCAAAACAACCCCUUUAAAUUUACAACUCGCUAUUUCAAUUAAAAAUUAGAUGAUACAAUGUCAAUCAAAACAUAUAACAUGUAUACUUUUAUAUGAUAUAACAAAAAUAUGUGCGAUUUCUUAUAACAAAAUGUAUAAAAUAGAUUUAUACUAAUUUUGACUUAUGUUGAAUGAUGAUUAAAUUUUUUUAUCAGAUACCCGUUUGACACAAGUUCAAACUAUAUGACGUCCAUCCUCACCUAAAUAUUUUAUAAAAAGAGUCGACAUUAAUCAUUUUGAAACUUUUAACCGUUUAAUCAAUGAUAUUAAUCAUUCCAUAAAGUUUUUUUAAUCAAAAUCAUCAUAAAGUAUUAAAUACUUUUUACUCAUUUACUAUUUACUAAGAACAAACCGAUAAUUAAAUAUCUUGAACCAAACAUGGUACUGUAACAUAUCUAGUAAUGCGCUAAUUGUCCUAUAAUCAAACAUUUUGUGAACUAAACUCCCUUUUAAUCUAAAUUCAUAAAAGUUUGUGUGCUUAAGAAAGUUGAGUUUCACAUAAUUUAUUCUUCCUAUAAACAAUAAGAAGAAAGUAGCGACUCAACUUUUGAUUGAAGACUUGUUUUAAUAAGGUUACACAAAUCAAAAUGUAGUAAAUUCAGGGAACUCUAUGUACUAAGAUAACCCUGUUAAAUGCUUCAUUUUCAAUCAACCGAGAAGCAUUUAUACACAUGUUUCUGAAAAGUAAAAUUCUUAGCCUCACAUUUGUAAGCAGUUUUACCCUGAUAUGAGACAAGCCUACUGAUGAAACAGAAGUUACGGCAAGGUGAUCAGAAGAGGCAUUCACUAACCUCACACGAUAAUGUUGUUUAAUCGGCGCUCAAAGCAAUUGACGAAGCAAUUCUGAAUAAAUUGAUAGGUUAUCAAAAAAAUUAUAUUGGUUAGGAUAAUAUUUUUUUUAAAUUAAUUAAAAAUAUUUUUCCAAAAUUCUCCCACUCUCCAUCCCAUGUCCAACUUCCCCACUUUCCUAUUUUUUCCACUCUUCUUUUGUUUUAACAUUAGUUUUGUUGCUGCUAGUUUUUUUCUCUCUCUGUUGAUUCUUUUUGUUUCAAAUUUUCCCUUUUAAUUUCUCUAUUUCACGUUAGUUUUUCCAUUCGUGAAACUUACGAGGAAUGUUGAAGAGUGGCAUGUGUCAAGUGAAAUUGGGUAAUCUCCAUCAUUUGAGGUUAAGAUGCAAACUCAAAAUACUCUUGCCAUGGGCUAUUGGAAAGUUGAAGAAUUUACACACUUUGUACCUCUAAUGCCAUUAUGACUCUGUAAUUCCAAAUGUAGUAUUCAAGUUGGAAUGUUUAAGGCAAUUUGUGAUGAAAUGGUAUACAUACCCUUGUUAAAAAAGUUGUUUUCUCCUGUGGCAAAGCUUUUCUUCAAAAUAUAUUAAAACUUUGAAGCACAUGAUGGUAAAUAAGAAGUUUAUUGAAAAUAAUGAGGCACUUAGGUUGACCCAUAUUCAAUGUUUAGGAAUAAUAUUUAAGAGUUCAAAAGAUAUUAAGUCUAUCCUACUGUUGCUAAUCAUAUUGGAUCGCCUUCUGUCAUUGUACAUGUGUUUGCUUGACUAUAUUAACCAUGACAAGUCAACUCAUCUAGACUUGGAACCUUUUUAUUAGUGUCGUCACCUCUCCAAAUUGAAGUUAAUAGGGCAUAUAAAAGAAGAUCCACAUCAGCGCCAUCAUGUUUUGGAAUUUCUUCCGUCAAGUAUUGUCAAGUUAACUUUAGAUGACUCCAUGAUGACCCAUGAUCAAAUGGGUGUGUUGGAAAAGUUACCUUUUUGAGAAUUCUGAAGUUAGAGAAUUCAACAUAUGAUGAGAGUGAGAUUAUAUGAUUUGCCAAUAGUUUCCUCAACUUGAUUCUCUUGAAAUGAGAUUUCUACCAGGGUUGAAGGAGUGGGUAAUAGAAGAAGGCGCAAUGUCAUGCCUUCAAAGAUUGGAAUUGGUCAAUGUCAAUAGUUUAGAGAUGCUUCCAGAAGGAUUGAUGUAUAUUACUACUCUCCAAGAAAUAACUAUGAGUUGGUCAUUGAAAGAAAUAAUUAAAGUGAUAGAUGAAAGAGGAAAUGAUUUCUACGAGGUAUGCCACAUUCCCUCUAUCCAAAUACAGUAAUUUGCUUAUAUCUAAAUAGGUGCAUUAGGAAUUUAUUUCUCUAAAAUAAUAAUCUCUUCUCUACUCUUUUUUUUUUUGUUUUUUUCUAAAAAGAAACUUGCAAUAUCAUUUCAUAAUUUCUAUUUUAUAUUCUUUUUUUAUCAUUAUUAUUAGUAUAGAUAAAAGAUGAUAUACCAUUUUCAUGUUCCUGGUAGGGUUGGAUGCUUUCUUUCACCUCCAAAUGCAAGCCUGCAAAGAAGCUCAACAUUAAUUGAUUCUUCAUCGAUUUAAGUUUAUGGAUUUUAAGGAAAGAUUUAUGAUAUUCCAUUUUUCACAUCGCUUGCACUAAUAAUGAACUCUUUGCCCUUACUUUUCUAUAAUUUUGAGUUUUUUUUCAUAAAAUAAUUUUAUAUAUCACGUAUCUACGAACUAAAUUCUAAACAGCUCUCUUUCGUUCUUUGAUACCAACCAUCAGAUUGACUUGAUCUAAUAUAUAUUUUUUUACUCAUUGAUGAGUAUUGAUCUAUCGAACUAUUUAUCGAAUUGUCGCUUGAAUCUUGCUAGUCCAACUGUCUUUUUUUUUUAAAAAAAGAACUUAAUAGUUCAAUGAAUUAAACAAAAUUUUUUGAAUAGUUUAAUGAUUUAAAUAAAAACUAUUAAACAGUUCAAUAUCUAUAUUGUAAUUUUUUAAAAUUAAAUAAUUAAAAUAUAAAUUUAUUAAUAGUUUAGUAAACUUGAGUAUAAUUUAUACAAAUAUUUUUUUUUGUCUGAUCCUAUCAAUUAUGAGAAACGACAGUUGGGUGUUCAAAUGGUUGUUAUUUGGAAGAAAUGAAAUGGAGGGUUGACCUACUAAUUAAUGUCAGUUUCCCACAACUUUGGCUUCCGAUGUAGAAAUUGCAAACAACUUUUACUUCCAAUGUGUGGAAAAUCUGUUGGCGCUUUUGGAAUUUUGUCACCCACAGUUUUUUCUGUCCACCUAGCAAUUUUGUUUUUAUUUUAAAAAAUAAUUCAAAAAUUUUAAUUAUCUAUGAAAAUGAUUUUUAUUAAAUAUAUAAGUGACAUAAAAAAACCACAUUUCAGAAUGGAUGACGCAGAUAAUUUUAGAAAUUGGUAGCGUCAAAUUAUUUAACUUUACAGAAAAAAGUUUUUUUAAGGUCUCUCAAUUUUUCAGAAAUAAUAGUAUUUUUUUAAUAUUUAUAUAGGUGAUGUCAUUUUACAUAGUUUUAUUAAAAAAAUAAUUUUUAUCUCGAUUACUGACAUGGUAUGUUAGUGAGGUAAAACUCUUUGACUCCACUAACUUUUACUACAUUCAAGGUCAUUAAACUACUGAUAAGUUUACAUUUUGAUCGUUUAACAUUAAAAAGUUACAAAAUAGUUAUUAAAUUAUUUAAAAGUUUUCUUUAAGUCAUUAAGUUGUUAAAAUCACUACCAUAUGGCCUUCAUUGUUUGCCCGCUAACUCUUCUACUCCUGCUUUUCUAUAGUUUAAGUUUUUUUUUCAUGAAACAACUUCAAAUGUUACGUAUCUAUGAAUCCAAAUCUAAAUAGUUUUGUUCUCCGUUCUUCGGCCCCAAACAUCAGAUUGACUUGAUCUAAUAUAUAUUAUUCUACUCAUCGAUGAGUAUUAGUCCAUUGUAUCAUUCAUCAAAUUGUCGUUUUAACCUAGCUAAUCGGACUUUAAAAAAAAACUAAUAGUCUAAUGACUUAAAUAAAAAUUGUUGAAUAGAUCAGUGGCUGAAACAGAUACCUUCAAAUAGUUAUAACUUUUAUAAAUUUUAUGUAAAUUUGGAAGAAUUGAAUUGAAUCUUAUUUUAUGUAAAUUUUAUAAUAUUUUAUAAUUUUAUAAAUUUUGAAAUUUUAAGUCUAAGUUUGAAUCUUAUUUUAUGUAAAUUAUGUGUGUAUCCUCCUCAAAUAAAUAAAUUUCUCUUCUUAAAAAAAUCACCAUUAAAACUCAAACAUCCCUGAUUGUUUUAUUUUCUUUCACUCAUCAAUUUUCUCUUUCAUUGUUUUAUUUUCUUUCACUCAUCAAUUUUCUCUUUCAUUCUUGAUAAAAUUUUAUAUUGUCCUAAUAUCUUCCACUUUAACAAUUGUGAAGUUUAUUUAAGGGUAAUUUAGGUAUUAUAUGAAAGAUAACACAGAAAAUAAUAAAUAAUUGGAGUAAACUGCUCUAAAAGUCACUAAACUACUAGUAAAUUUACGUUUUGAUCAAUUAACUUUAAAAAGUUACAAAUGAUCACUAAACUAUAGAAUAUUUUUAUUUAAGUCAUUGAGUUGUUAACGAGUAUAUAAACUAUAAUCCAAAUACUUUUAUUCUUUAUUCUUCGAUAUUGAUCAUCAUAUUGAUUUGAUCUAAUAUAUAUUCUUUUACUUGUUAAUGAGUAUUGAUCUAUUGUUCUAUUCAUUAACUUGCCGCUUGAACUUCACUAGUCAAACUUUUAAGAAUUGAAUAUUUGAAUAAUAUUUUGAAAUUUUAUAAUAAUUUGGAAGAGUUGAAUUGAGGUUGGCCUACUAAUGUCAGUGAUGAUAACUUUAUGUUUUCUUCACAUUAAUAAUAAUAAUAAUAAUAAUAUUUUCAGCUAUUUACUGUCCAAAGAAAAAUAACUACAAACCUCACCCUCAAAAAUAGAUCUUCAAAACUUCUGAUAAAGAGAAAUACUUCCACCACUAAUACAUAAAAUAAUCCACUAAUACUUGCCAAUCAGUUUGUGGAAUCUGUUCUGGGCCAGCAGGAGAAAUGGAAGAGGCUAUUGUGUCCUUAGUUGUUGAAAGAAUUUCAGAUUUACUCAUCCAUGAAGCUGUUUUCCUCAAAGAUGUCAAAGAUCAAGUUGAGAGCCUAAGGGCUGAACUGAAGCGAAUGCAGUGUUUCUUGAAGGACGCAGAUCACAAUCUUGAACAAGAUGCGCGUUUCCAGAAUCGUGUGUCGGAAAUCAGAGAUCUUGCUUAUGAUGCUGAAGAUGUCAUCGACUCUUUUAUUCUUAAAGCAGCAUAUCAACGAGGUUCUCAUGGGAUUGUCAAGAGAUUCACCUCCACUUUCACCAAACCUUAUCAUCUGCACAAAAUCGGGGUGCAGGUCAAAGCAAUCAAGACCAAGCUCCAAAACAUUUCCAAGAAUCUUCCAGCUUUUGAGAUACCCGGUGAUGGAGAAGGCUCUAGCUCAAUUUUCAAGGUGCAGCAACGGUUAGGAAGGGCAUACUCACAUGUCGAGGAAGAGGACGUUGUUAGCUUGGAGGUUAGCACCAAGGAUGUCAUGACC
rnacentral:lncRNA from 1 species